ACAAUGGUAGGAGAGCGUUCUAAGGGCGUUGAAGCAUGAUCGUAAGGACAUGUGGAGCGCUUAGAAGUGAGAAUGCCGGUGUGAGUAGCGAAAGACGGGUGAGAAUCCCGUCCACCGAUUGACUAAGGUUUCCAGAGGAAGGCUCGUCCGCUCUGGGUUAGUCGGGUCCUAAGCUGAGGCCGACAGGCGUAGGCGAUGGAUAACAGGUUGAUAUUCCUGUACCACCUAUAAUCGUUUUAAUCGAUGGGGGGACGCAGUAGGAUAGGCGAAGCGUGCGAUUGGAUUGCACGUCUAAGCAGUAAGGCUGAGUAUUAGGCAAAUCCGGUACUCGUUAAGGCUGAGCUGUGAUGGGGAGAAGACAUUGUGUCUUCGAGUCGUUGAUUUCACACUGCCGAGAAAAGCCUCUAGAUAGAAAAUAGGUGCCCGUACCGCAAACCGACACAGGUAGUCAAGAUGAGAAUUCUAAGGUGAGCGAGCGAACUCUCGUUAAGGAACUCGGCAAAAUGACCCCGUAACUUCGGGAGAAGGGGUGCUCUUUAGGGUUAACGCCCAGAAGAGCCGCAGUGAAUAGGCCCAAGCGACUGUUUAUCAAAAACACAGGUCUCUGCUAAACCGUAAGGUGAUGUAUAGGGGCUGACGCCUGCCCGGUGCUGGAAGGUUAAGAGGAGUGGUUAGCUUCUGCGAAGCUACGAAUCGAAGCCCCAGUAAACGGCGGCCGUAACUAUAACGGUCCUAAGGUAGCGAAAUUCCUUGUCGGGUAAGUUCCGACCCGCACGAAAGGCGUAACGAUUUGGGCACUGUCUCAACGAGAGACUCGGUGAAAUCAUAGUACCUGUGAAGAUGCAGGUUACCCGCGACAGGACGGAAAGACCCCGUGGAGCUUUACUGUAGCCUGAUAUUGAAAUUCGGCACAGCUUGUACAGGAUAGGUAGGAGCCUUUGAAACGUGAGCGCUAGCUUACGUGGAGGCGCUGGUGGG
rnacentral:rRNA from 1 species